GACGGUUACCUUUGAAAUCAAUAUCAUCCGUUCGAUCAUGCUGAGAUUAAAUCUAGGCCGUAUAAACUCUUCAUUUUAACCGCUGUCUUGAUAGUUCUGAGCGGUUACUUGCAGCUAGCAUGUUUUUCUGUCCAUGUUCCUACAUAACUGAAGAGGUGGUUUUGACGAGUGGAUUCAAAUGAGGUAAUUGUAGGCGACGUGGGGAAAUAACUCACAAAAAAACUGCUAUGGUGGCGGUUGUGAGCGGUUUCUUGCAGUUUCCAUAGCUGGUGGUUAUCUCCAUCUUUCUCUGCCCACGUCGUCGAUAACCUCAUAUACAUUUCCUUCAAAUACCCUUCCUUUUGUAGCAGAUCUGAUAUAUGCACACAGUUGAGCUUUCUUCUAUCCCGAUCUCAAACUUCAGUCAAGCAUUAUUCCAUCGCAAUCUGAUUUCUCCUCAAAUUCCUAUCCCUUUUCUCCAUUCAUCAAAUAUAUGUCUAAGCUCAGCAAAACCACCACAAAUGGCGUUAUCCUGCAGCGGCUUAACCUUCAAGCUCCAUGUUCUAGAGUGGUCAGGUAUGUUCUCUGUUUAUGAUUUUCAUUUUAGACGAUUUUUGUUUUAUUUUGGAUUAAUUAUAUAAGAUUUGAUUUAUCAUUAGUUCAUGCACAUAGAUUGUGUGCAGAGAUGGUGUGAUGAGAAAGGGAACACUAAUUGCGAAAUCUGUCUAUAUGUUAUAUGUUAGGUUAAUACAUCUAUUCAUGUUCGUUUUCUUCAGUUAUUGAUUUAAUUUCCAAUUUCAUGAUCGUGGAAGGAUCGGAUAUGAAACCAGCAGACCUAAAUGGUGAGUUUACUUCAAAAAUGGCAAUAAUUUUCCAAAUUGUUUAGUCGAUAUGUUGGCUAAUCAUUACAUGAAAGGCCAAUUAGGUGCCGGCAAGUUCAGGACCAAGAUACAGUCCAAAAUGGUUUGAAUAAUCCAAAAUUCCUAUUGCUUCAUGGGAUUCACAUAAUUUUCUUGAAAUUGGAGUCUGUGAUAAAUAUUACCUUUUGACGGCCCCAUCGGGGAUUUUUGUGCAAUGUUUAAUCAUCUUAGAGAGGGCCAGAGACAUGACAUGUGGUUGCCUAUUCAGAACAUAAAAAUUUAAAGAUUGCAUCUUGCAGUUAGAGUUAUUGAAGCUGGUGAAAAAGUAUUUGAACAACCGUGUGAUGGUGAUGCACCAAGUGAAUUCCAGAAAAAAGACAGUUCAUGUAAAUCUCUUGAAAAUUCUAAAGAAAUAAAGCAAAUCAUCUAGAACCGAUUAAUGUCGAACGGCAAAGAGAGACUAGCAUAUGGGUUCACUUCCCGGAUGCUGAUGUAGCACAAGUCUGGUUUGGGAGCCUAGAAAGAGGAAGAACCACGUGGUCCAUAAUGAUAGUGAGUAAGUGAAUGGUAACAUUCAAUCUGAUCCGUUCCUUUAGUUUGUAUGCAACUUGGUACUCUUUUAUGGAGAUAUUGGGAUUACCCGUUUUGACCCAGGUACACAUCCAUAUCAAAUGAUUCAGAAAGAGUCUAUAAACCUUUUAAAUUAUUCUAUUUAAAACAAUCUUGCAAUUAUAUUUAACACACCAACAAAUUAUAAUAGAUUUUUUAAUCCUGGCCCAAAAGUCUUCGUUGACCUGACCUGUUUUCUACUCAUCAAACUAAAUUGGCAGAGUUUUGACCCGAAAGUAACCACCUCUACUAAUCUUUUUAUCUAUUCAUCACUAAAUUUUUGUUGAAAGUGACCCUUUAAUUGAAAUCUGAAUGCAUAUUAAUGAUUAGUUACAGUUGCUCUUUGUAGAGUAUUUACUAAUGGAUUGAUGUCACUCAUGGAAUUGAUUAAUGGUUGAUAGCUCUUAAAAGGUGCAUAUCUAAAUAUAAAUCGAAGGAUAUGGACUCGAUAGACAUGCCGGUUGGUGGAUAUAAAGAUUUGGACUCAUCAAAGAGACUCAAUACUCUUAGUUUUCUUCUGAUGAAGUUCUUGGAACUGAGUAAGAUUAUUAUACAUACUUUUAAGAAGUUAAAAGCUUUUAUAUUAAGUUAUUUUUACUUAGUAAUUUAAUACUUGAAAAAUUUAAUAAAAAAAAUAAGAAAUUGGAUUGAUGAUCAAAAUACUAAGUUUUUUUGACAAGAGAAAGGAAGCAGAGGAUAAACUUUCUGUUGCAACAGGUAAUGUAUAAACUUUACUUUUGUUUUAUUCAUUUUAUGUGUUGAUGUUAUUAUUAAUUACCUUUUGAAUUUAGGGACAAAAGUUGGAAACAGAAAAGGUGGCAUAAAUUAUAGGUGGAAAAGGUGGCUGAUGGCAUAAUCAAACCUUUUAUAGGAGGGAGGCGACGUUGGUUAAAGACAACAACAAGAGUAUUCCAGGCUCUAAGAAUAGUUGUUAAUGAUGAACUAAAGAUGCUAGAGUCUUCUUUGUAUGAUUGCUACUGAAGUGUUACACCUGGCGAGAGGCUUGCAGUCAUGUCGACUCACAUUCUAGAGGACAAAAUAAAAAAACAAACAUUUCCCAACAUCAUUAACACCAGUUUAGUUUGGUUGACGAAAACAAAAAUGUUAAUUCUGAAAAUGACGAUGACAAAGAAACAUGUGUCAAACAGGUGAUCCAUGGGGUUGGUGUAGUAAUCCUCACAAAGAGACCCGUUACGCCUUCUAAAGCUGAAGAGAAACUGAAUGUUCGUUGUAGUAGUGCCAAACUCCGGGUAAUACAAAGACACCGAAGUAAAAUCAGAGGGUUAGAUUAGGAAUGGAUUAUAAAUCUUUAUGUCUCUCAUUUGGUAGCUUAGAUGAUGCCAUCAAUUUCAGAUGUCAAUUUACAGUUGGUAACUUGGAUGCUUCUAUCCAAAUGCUUUGGGUGGUCUUGUACUUUCAUAUGCAAUUUCAAUAUCUCUAUAUGCAUUAGCAGUUAAUGUAGGCAAAGACUUCUGUAUUUACGUUUUACUUUCUACCUUGAAACAUGAAAGUGUUAACGACUGUCAA